GGAGGUGAUCCAUGAUCUAUCCGAAGCGGAAAUAAGAAACUUCCUGCUGUAUUUAACAGGCAGCGAUCGUAUACCUAUUCAGGGUAUAAAGGCCCUCGGGUUCACUAUACAACCAACUACCGAUGAACGUUUCCUGCCAGUGGCCCAUACAUGCUUCCAUCUGCUGGAUCUGCCACGCUACAAGACCAAGGAGCGCCUCAAAUUCGAACUGCUGCAUGCCAUACAGCAAACGCAGGGAUUUAGUCUGGUCUGACCCUCCGAUCGAUCGGAAUUGGUGAGGGCGGGAAUGGAAGGGUAAAAUGGAUUUAAGCUACACGUACAGGAAAACACACACACAACCCACACAGAGACACACAUUUAUCAGCGAUCAAAUCAACUAAAAUAAUGUGUUUAUGGCUUUAAAUUGUUAGCUAGUUGUCAAUCAAAAUACCACACUGUUAUAGAACGAAUGAGAGAAGAAAAACAAAUAAAUCGGUGAGAUAAAAGGUC
rnacentral:sRNA from 1 species